GAUGAACGCUGGCGGCGUGCCUAAUACAUGCAAGUCGAGCGAAAAGACGAGGAGUUUGCUCCUCUGACGUUAGCGGCGGACGGGUGUGUAACACGUGGAUAACCUACCUAUAAGUCUGGGAUAAUUUCGGGAAACCGGAGCUAAUACCGGAUAAUAUAUUGAACCGCAUGGUUCACUAGUGAAUGACGGUUUUGCUGUCACUUAUAGAUGGAUCCGCGCUGCAUUAGCUAGUUGGUAAGGUAACGGCUUACCAAGGCGACGAUGCGUAGCCGACCUGAGAGGGUGAUCGGCCACACUGGAACUGAGACACGGUCCAGACUCCUACGGGAGGCAGCAGUAGGGAAUCUUCCGCAAUGGGCGGAAGCCUGACGGAGCAACGGCGCGUGAGUGAUGAAGGUCUUCGGAUUGUAAAACUCUGUUAUUGGGGAAGAACAAAUGUGUAAGUAACUAUGCACGUCUUGACGGUACCUAAUCAGAAAGCCACGGCUAACUACGUG
rnacentral:rRNA from 1 species